GACGAACGCUGGCGGCGUGCUUAACACAUGCAAGUCGAACGGAAAGGCCUUUUCUGAGGUACUCGAGUGGCUAACGGAUGAGUAACACAUGGGUGAUCUGCCCUGCCCUCUGGUAUAAACCUGUGAAACUGGCUCUAAUACCUGAUAGGACCGCACUUCAGCGUGUGGGGGGGAAAGUUUUUUCUGCGUAGGAUGAGCCCGCACUCUAUCAUCUUGUUGGUGGGGUAAUGGCCUACCAAUAGCGGCGACUGGUAGCCGGACUGAGAGGUUGGUCGGACACGUUGCGACUGAGAUACGGCCCAGACUCCUACCGGAGGCAACGGUGGGGAAUAUUGCACAAUGGGCGCGAGCCUGAUGCAACGACGCCGCGUGGGGGAUGACGGCCUUCCCGUUGUAAACUCCUUUCGCCAGGGACGAAGCGUUUUGUGACGGUACCUGGAGAAGAAACACCGGCUAACUACGUGCCAGCACCCGCGGUAAUACGUACGGUGCAAGCGUUGUCCGGAAUUACUGGGCGUAAAGAGCUCGGAUGUGGUUUGUCACAUCGUCUGUGAAAUUCCACAGCUUAACUGUGGGCGUGCAGGCGAUACGGGCUGACUUGAGUACUGUAGGGGUAACUGGAAUUCCUGGUGUAGCGGUGAAAUGCGCAGAUAUCAGGAGGAACACCGAUGGCGAAGGCAGGUUACUGGGCAGUUACUGACGCUGAGGAGCGAAAGCAUGGGUAGCAAACAGGAUUAGAUACCCUGGUAGUCCAUGCCGUAAACGGUGGGCGCUAGGUGUAGGGGCCGUUUGGGGUUUCUGUGCCGUAGCUAACGCAUUAAGCGCCCCGCCUGGGGAGUACGGCCGCAAGGCUAAAACUCAAAGGAAUUGACGGGGGCCCGCACAAGCGGCGGAACAUGUGGAUUAAUUCGAUGCAACGCGAAGAACCUUACCUGGGCUUGACAUACACCAGAUCGCUGCAGAGAUGUAGUUUCCCUUGUGGCUGGUGUACAGGUGGUGCAUGGCUGUCGUCAGCUCGUGUCGUGAGAUGUUGGGUUAAGUCCCGCAACGAGCGCAACCCUUGUCUUAUGUUGCCAGCACGUUAUGGUGGGGACUCAUGAGAGACUGCCGGGGUUAACUCGGAGGAAGGUGGGGACGACGUCAAGUCAUCAUGCCCCUUAUGUCCAGGGCUUCACACAUGCUACAAUGGCCGGUACAAUGCGCAGCGAGCCUGUGAGGGUGAGCUAAUCGCUUAAAGCUGGUCUUAGUUCGGAUUGGGGUCUGCAACUCGACCCCAUGAAGUCGGAGUCGCUAGUAAUCGCAGAUCAGCAAUGCUGCGGUGAAUACGUUCCCGGGCCU
rnacentral:rRNA from 1 species